rnacentral:rRNA from 1 species
GCUAAAUACUACCUGAUGACCGAUAGUGAAGCAGUACCGUGAGGGAAAGGUGAAAAGAACCCCGGGAGGGGAGUGAAAUAGAACCUGAAACCGUGUGCCUACAACCGCUCAGAGCCCCUUAUGAGGGUGAUGAGGUGCUUUUUGUAGAACGAGCCAACGAGUUACGGUAUGUAGCAAGGUUAAGUACUUAAGGUACGGAGCCGAAGGGAAACCGAGUCUGAAUAGGGCGACUAGUUGCAUGCCGUAGACCCGAAACCGGGUGACCUAUCCAUGGCCAGGUUGAAGCGAGGGUAAAACCUCGUGGAGGACCGAACCACGUUGCUGUUGAAAAAGCAUGGGAUGAGCUGUGGAUAGCGGAGAAAUUCCAAUCGAACCCGGAGAUAGCUGGUUCUCUCCGAAAUAGCUUUAGGGCUAGCGUCGAGUAUGAGUAGUGGAGGUAGAGCACUGAAUGGGCUAGGGGGCAUAGCGCUUACCGAACCUUAUCAAACUCCGAAUGCCACAUACUUUGAGCUCGGCAGUCAGACUACGAAUGAUAAGAUCCGUGGUCAAAAGGGAAACAGCCCAGAUCGUCAGCUAAGGUCCCAAAGUGUAAGUUAAGUGGGAAAGGAUGUGAGAUUUCUAAGACAACUAGGAUGUUGGCUUAGAAGCAGCCAUUCAUUAAAAGAGUGCGUAAUAGCUCACUAGUCGAGAGAUCUUGCGCCGAAAAUGUAACGGGGCUAAACUUACCACC